UUUCUCAUGUCCUAGAUCUUUAGUGUGAUGACCUGGAGAUAAAUAUUUUGCUAUUGUAGCUGAAGGUGCCAAAUGGCUACUCUAUGUUCUAUUACUGGGUCUCUUCUUUUUUGGGAUGUUGGCUGUUUGUUUUACACCCAAAAAGAGAUGGGAGUAUUACAAUAACCCUCACGACAGGAUCAGAUGAUCAACAGUGUCAAAGAAGCGGGCACAAGCCCCGGACUUGGACAAAACAGCACACCUAGCCUAAUAAGAUAAAUCUCUCACAACCCAAGAGGCUAGGCGAAAACUGACAUGCCCCUACCAAGUACCAAGCAAGCUAACAUAAUAGCUGACACAGCAGAUGGGGGCCAGAAAGAGAGAAUUUAAAGCAAAUCUGGCACCAUGACAAAACACGGCCAAACAUCCAACAAAUGCCAUCCACAACAGUAACCUUUUCUUGUCCCUCAGCCCCCUAGGUUAAUGUGCUGCCAAGAGAGCAGUUGUAUGUCAUCCCAAUUGGCAACUCUUUUGAAGAGUCUUAUGCCACACUAAAAGGCCACAGUCUAAGCAAAAAUACAUCCCAAAACUGCAGUAUCCACCAACAAUAUAGCAAAACUGGCCGCAAUCAAUUCAGUAUAUCCUGGCACUCUCCUCAACUGGAAGAAAGUGAAAUGCCCCUGGAGCAUCGACAACAAUAUAAGAAAACUGGCUAGUGAAAAUGAAGCCAUAUCAUUAAGAGUAUAUUUCUAAUAGUCUCCCCAACUAUUGGACAACUAAAAGACCAUGAUAUUCCACACUGAU